rnacentral:rRNA from 1 species
AAAAGUACUUUGAAGAGAGAGUAAACAGUACGUGAAACCGCUCAGAGGUAAACGGGUAGAGUUGAACUGCAAGCCUUGGAGAUUCAGCUGGUGAGCAUGGCUUGAGCUUGGUCAUUCUGGUCGGCUUCAGGGGUCUGCUUAGUUGCAGGUUGCUGCUCUUGGGUGGCGACUCGCGGUGCACUGGUCAAGUGCUGCGUGCCUUUGUUGUCGCGGGCCGGUUCGUCAGUGCAUUUCUCCUUGGUGAUCACCACGACCAACGCUGCUGCUUGUCUGCUGUCACAAACACGGAAGGUAGCUUGUCGGCCUUCGGGCCUUCAAGUGUAAUAGCCGGUGGCGGUGGAGCUAUGCAGUGCGUUGGAGAUGGCGGCUUUGCUUUAGAGCCAA